rfam:Phaseolus vulgaris cultivar G19833 chromosome 3, whole genome shotgun sequence.
GACCCAUGAUUUGGAAAUUUCCUCAACAUCAUUUUGAAUCUCUCCUAUGUCUCACAAAAAGAUUCUUCUGCUCUUUGUCUGAACAUAGAGAUUUCAGACUUAGCUU